AUUGAACGCUGGCGGCAGGCCUAACACAUGCAAGUCGAACGGUAACAGGAAGAAGCUUGCUUCUUUGCUGACGAGUGGCGGACGGGUGAGUAAUGUCUGGGAAACUUCCUGAUGGAGGGGGAUAACUACUGGAAACGGUAGCUAAUACCGCAUAACGUCGCAAGACCAAAGAGGGGGACCUUCGGGCCUCUUGCCAUCGGAUGUGCCCAGAUGGGAUUAGCUAGUAGGUGGGGUAACGGCUCACCUAGGCGACGAUCCCUAGCUGGUCUGAGAGGAUGACCAGCCACACUGGGACUGAGACACGGUCCAGACUCCUACGGGAGGCAGCAGUGGGGAAUAUUGCACAAUGGGCGCAAGCCUGAUGCAGCCAUGCCGCGUGUAUGAAGAAGGCCUUCGGGUUGUAAAGUACUUUCAGCGGGGAGGAAGGGAGUAAAGUUAAUACCUUUGCUCAUUGACGUUACCCGCAGAAGAAGCACCGGCUAACUCCGUG
rnacentral:rRNA from 1 species